rnacentral:rRNA from 1 species
CAGCCGCCGCGGUAACACGUAGGUGGCGAGCGUUGUCCGGAUUUAUUGGGCGUAAAGGGAGUGUAGGCGGUCUUUUAAGUCUGAUGUGAAAGCCCACGGCUCAACCGUGGAGGGUCAUUGGAAACUGGGAGACUUGAGUGCAGAAGAGGAGAGCGGAAUUCCAUGUGUAGCGGUGAAAUGCGUAGAUAUAUGGAGGAACACCAGUGGCGAAGGCGGCUCUCUGGUCUGUAACUGACGCUGAGGCUCGAAAGCGUGGGGAGCAAACAAGAUUAGAUACCCGGGUAGUCCCUGUCUCUUAUAC